GAUGAACGCUGGCGGCGUGCCUAAUACAUGCCAGUCGAGCGAACGGACGAGAAGCUUGCUUCUCUGAUGUUAGCGGCGGACGGGUGAGUAACACGUGGAUAACCUACCUAUAAGACUGGGAUAACUUCGGGAAACCGGAGCUAAUACCGGAUAAUAUUCUGAACCGCAUGGUUCAAAAGUGAAAGACGGUCUUGCUGUCACUUAUAGAUGGAUCCGCGCUGCAUUAGCUAGUUGGUAAGGUAACGGCUUACCAAGGCAACGAUGCAUAGCCGACCUGAGAGGGUGAUCGGCCACACUGGAACUGAGACACGGUCCAGUCUCCUACGGGAGGCAGCAGUAGGGAAUCUUCCGCAAUGGGCGAAAGCCUGACGGAGCAACGCCGCGUGAGUGAUGAAGGUCUUCGGAUCGUAAAACUCUGUUAUUAGGGAAGAACAUAUGUGUAAGUAACUGUGCACAUCUUGACGGUACCUAAUCAGAAAGCCACGGCUAACUACGUG
rnacentral:rRNA from 1 species